UACGUAGGGACCGAGCGUUGUCCGGAUUUAUUGGGCGUAAAGAGCGUGUAGGCGGCCAAGCAGGUCCGCUGUGAAAACUCGAGGCUCAACCUCGAGACGUCGGUGGAAACCGUUUGGCUAGAGUCCGGAAGAGGAAAGUGGAAUUCCUGGUGUAGCGGUGAAAUGCGCAGAUAUCAGGAAGAACACCAAUGGCGAAGGCAGCUCGCUGGGACGGAACUGACGCUAAGGCGCGAAAGCGUGGGGAGCGAACAGG
rnacentral:rRNA from 1 species